CGCGCGUAGGCGGCUCGUUAAGUCGGAUGUGAAAACCCGGGGCUCAACCCCGGGCCUGCACCCGAUACUGGCGAGCUGGAGGCAGGUAGGGGAGAUCGGAAUUCCCGGUGUAGCGGUGAAAUGCGCAGAUAUCGGGAGGAACACCGGUGGCGAAGGCGGAUCUCUGGGCCUGUCCUGACGCUCAGGCGCGAAAGCUAGGGGAGCAAACAGGAUUAGAUACCCUGGUAGUCCUAGCUGUAAACGUUGGGUGCUAGGUGUGGGCCGGCGAUCGACCCGGUCUGUGCCGAAGCUAACGCAUUAAGCACCCCGCCUGGGGAGUACGGCCGCAAGGCUAAAACUCAAAGGAAUUGACGGGGGCCCGCACAAGCGGCGGAGCAUGUGGCUUAAUUCGACGCGACGCGAAGAACCUUACCAGGGCUUGACAUGCGGGGUGAAGCCGGCGAAAGCCGGUCCUCCUUCGGGAGCCCGCACAGGUGUUGCAUGGCCGUCGUCAGCUCGUGCCGUGAGGUGUUGCCUUAAGUGGCGCAACGAGCGCAACCCCUGUCCCAUGUUGCCAGCGGGAAAGCCGGGGACUCAUGGGAUACUGCCGGUGCCAAACCGGAGGAAGGUGGGGA
rnacentral:rRNA from 1 species